CAUAUAAAAAAUGGGGAGGAUGGUGGUAGCCUGCACGUGGCCCUCCCUGCAUGCGCUUGUAGAUUUUCUGAAGACCCUUGUGUACAAAGACAGACUACAAGCGUAUCUAAUACUACCACCAAGGCGCUGAUACCCAGCAACAGACACAGUAAUAUGCAACCUUUAAACGGCUCUUUUCAGGGCCAUUCAACGCAGAUAUUAGAACCAUGCCUUAGGGCAUGUCACCUAAAUAUUGAAGGUAUUUCGUCAGCUAAGAGUGAAAUUCUAUCUAAACUUAUGAGAGAGGUACAAAUAUAUCCAUAUACUUAUUACUCUUUUUUAAAUAAUAACAUUAUGUUUAUUAUGUGACCUUGUUAUUUUAUAUCAAAACGAUUUGCAUCAUUUAAUACUAAAGUCUGUUUGUCAUAACUAAAUUAAUUAUUGGUAUAUUAAUCCUAGCUUUAGUUUUCUUGCAAUUAGUUGGAGAAGAACAAUAUUAUAUUCUAUAAAUUUCACUAUACAUGCAACUAAACCCUUAUAAACUUACUAUGAUUUUACUUAACUUAUUCAAUUAACUACUAACAUUGUAUUUAUUGUAUAACAUUACCACCAUACCAUACCAUAAUCAAAAAUAUCACAAUGAUUUUCAUUAUUCAAACUUAACUAUGUAUUAAAUUAAUAAAAUUGUAUUUAUUUUGUAACCUUACAUUUUAAAUCUAUCAAACUGAUUUAUUUAAUUUAUAAUAGAGUAAGAUUAUUUUAAAAUUAUAUUUCACUGUUAUAUAUGUUUAAAUGCAUAUUAUCAUUUUCUCUUUCUAUGUUCAGAAAUCUUUAAAAAUCCAAAUUCCAAAAGUUUAUGAAUACAAUCUAUAUUAACACAUUUAAAAAUGUUAUUAAGUAUUUUUUCAUAUUAUACAAUUACUAAUUAACAAUACCAGAGUUGAAAAAAAAGAUUAGAAUAUUUGUAUGUGUACUGUGUAAGAUAUUCUCUGGUUUUCAUAGAAGGGGUGAAUUUCAGUACAGUUUAAACUUAGUUUAGUCUAGGAAAAUCUCAUGCUUAGAAAAUAAUAAACUUCUAUCUCAAUAUCAUUUUGGUUUUCGACUUGAUACCUUUAAUGCUUUAUAUUCAACAACUACAUUUAUUUAUGGAAAAUGAGAUAAUAAUAAAAAGUCAUUGCAGUAUUUUUAGAUCUGACAAAAGCAUUUGUCACUGUAAACCAUAAAGUAUUAAUUAAUAUUUUGGUAGGUUUUGGAAUAAAUGUGGAAAGUUUGAGCUGGAUCACUUGUUAUCUGAGACACAGGACACAGUGUGCCUCAGUAAACAAUGUCUUAAGUAGUAAAAAACAAAUUGUUUGUAGUAUGCCACAAGGCAGUGUAUUGGAACC